rnacentral:rRNA from 1 species
AACGAACGCUGGCGGCAGGCUUAACACAUGCAAGUCGAACGCUCCGCAAGGAGAGUGGCAGACGGGGGAGUAACACGUGGGAACGUACCCUUUACUACGGAACAACUCCGGGAAACUGGAGAUAAUACCGUAUGUGCCCUUUGGGGGAAAGAUUUAUCGGUAAAGGAUCGGCCCGCGUUGGAUUAGCUAGUUGGGGGGGUAAAGGCAUACCAAGGCGACGAUCCAGAGCUGGUCUGAGAGGAUGAUCAGCCACAUUGGGACUGAGACACGGCCCAAACUCCUACGGGAGGCAGCAGUGGGGAAUCUUGGACAAUGGGCGGAAGCCUGAUCCAGCCAUGCCGCGUGUGUGAUGAAGGCCUUAGGGUUGUAAAGCACUUUCACCGGAGAAGAUAAUGACGGUAUCCGGAGAAGAAGCCCCGGCUAGCUUCGUGCCAGCCGCCGCAGUAA